CAUUCAAAUAAAAUAUCAUUUGAAAGACAGAAUAUUCUUAUUAUUUAUUUAAUAUAAAUUAAUUAAUUUGUUACUGUUGAAUUUAUACACGGGAUAAAUAAGGCUGCAGGUUUAAUCAGUAAAAUAAUUAUUUAACGUAUCAAAAAUGUAUUACAAAUUAUGAGCAUCGAACAUUGCUCAUUGCUGGUUAGCGGAGUACUACUGUUGCAAACAGGACUUGUAACACUUGCUAGAAGCUGGAAUAGCGUUUCUCUGUACUAGCUAAACCACUGUAAUGGAGUACAGAAUUACCAACUGUAGAAAUUUAAUCAAGAACAUCUUUAUCCUGAUGAAGGGUCACAGUAGAGUUUCAGAAGAUUAAAUAAGAGGGUGAUCGAAAAUCAUCAGAAUUGGGGAAAAUGGGGAAAAACCAAGUACCAAAAAGGAAUCUUGAGUUUACAAAGAAUCAAAUGAACGAAUUAAUUUAAAUAAACCCCGCAGAAUUUCUCAUAAAUCCAUUCAAGAGUGAGAAAAUUAUGAUAAUUGUGGCCAAAAAUUCCCUGAAGAUAUUAACUUUCAAAAAUCGCAGAAGUUUACAAAAUAUUAAU